rnacentral:lncRNA from 1 species
GCAGGAUGAACCUCUAAUGGCUCAACUAUUUCAGGUAAUGCGACAAUUUCUGUAUGAUCUUUCCGUGAUGCUGUAUCUGAACCUUCAUUCUCAUUCACAUCAUUUUCAUAUGCCUCUGCUUGUUCUGCCUCAUUAUAAAGAAUCUCCUAUAUUCACAAGAGAGCAAAUUAAUUCAGUUAAUAAUCAAGAGAAAAAAAAAAAAAAGACCCAGCAAAAGGUAAAAGAAAAAUAUUAGUGCUACCUCAUCUUCUUGGAAAGACAGCUUCUCAGACUCAACAACCCAAUUAUCUAGUAAGCUCUCUAGCAUGCCACUGUCAAGAGAUAUGGAGCCAUCAGUAGUUCUCUUUAAUUGUCGCUCCCUAAGACGCAAGUUGUAAUGGACAUAAGCAAAAUCAUUUAAUUUCUUCUGGGCCAAACGGUUAUGCCUUGUACUAUGAAUUUGAUCAAAUAUACUCCAAUGGUGUUCACAACCAAAGGACGUACAUGUCUGGCUCAAAAUGCGAAUAGCAAUUCGUUGCAAUUCAAGACAAUUUAUCCCAUGUUGUUGCCACCACGCAGCUGUCAAUGAAAGGAAGAACAAGAACAACAAAGAAGCAAUGGUUCAAACUCUAUUCUGCCAUAACAAUAAGACAACAACCGCAUCUGACAAAGGAUGCACAAGGCAAUAUAGUUUAUAAGCCAUAUAGUUUCGCGUGCUGAUCAUAUGAAUUAUCACCUGGAUCCAGCUCCAUUCUUGUACUCAAAGCCAGUUCAGUUCCAAAAUCAGCUUUAGCAAAAACAAAAUCAGAAAUCUAGGAUGAACAACAUAAGAUCACAGAAUAUUAAUAAAAGAAUCUGUUAGAAAAUUUACAGGUUAUCAUGAUAUUAAUGGUUAAAAAAUGAUUUAAGUUAGACAGACAGUACCUGCGAAGCAGCAGAAACUCUUCUUCCAUGAUCUGGUUCUAGUCGAGUUAUGCAUUCAUUUAGACCUCGGAUAACCUCUGGUAGCUACAAAUUAGAAAAUAACAAUUCAAAAUUAGAAUACAAACAUUGUACUCUUGGGAUUUAAGCAUGCGAUGCUAUAAUCAUACCACCAUGAAAUCUGGACGAUAACGAUAUGAUGGAUUAAGGAAGUAUGCUGCAACAUAUAGGGCAUGGUUGAAAACAGCACUCCAAUGGUUGUCUAUUACACUCCAGAAGGGACCAUAUUUUCGCUCAUCAUCAGCAUGGAUGGCUUUAAUAGCAAGUUUAGCUCGGUAGAUGUCAUUAUAAAUAGAUGGCAUAGACAACCCUUCAGUGCUGUCAACUUUUUUAAACAUCUGUACAACAGGAUCAACAGAUUUUUUAACAUAUUGCAUCUUCUUCCAGAAUGUGGAGUUGAAGACAAUUUUUUCAACUUCUUUACCCUCAUCUGAUUUUGCUAAUUGGGACAAAAUCCAUUUAUUUGAUUGGAACAUUCUUCUGAGAGCAGCCCUAUGAUCCAGCAAGCUUUGUAAAGUAAGAAAGCUGGUUGCAAACUUGGUAACAGCUGGUCUAAGAAGUUCCUUUCCCGCUGUAAAUUCCUUUUUCAUAAGGUUUAACAACCAUAUGCGGUUAUAAAUAAAUUUAACAAUUUUUUGGCCUUUGUCAAUGCACUCUCUGACCCAUUUUAUCUUCACAAAAUCCUCAAGAAUUUGAUCGAUGCAGUAGGCAGCACAGGGCGUCCAAAAUAAACUUCUCCUCUUCUCCUCCAGCAUCUUCCCAGCAGCUUUAUAGUUUGCAUUAUUUUCUGUAAUUACCUGUAAUAAUAAUUCAUGCUACCAAGAAAUUACCAUCAAAGUAUAAUGAAAUAUUCAGGAAAAAGUCUCAAACUCAGAAUGUAGAUUUCACUCUAUAAUGUAUGUGAUCAGCCAAAAACUUAAGAAAUUGAAAGAAAAAGAGUUAAGUACCUGUACAACAUUUCCCUCGCCUACCUCCUCCACAACAUUGUCCAAGAGCUUAAAAAGACUGGUAACAUCUUUGAUUACAUCAGAUGCAUCAAUGGAGGAAAUGAAGUAUGUCCCUCUGGGGCAAGACACCAAGAAAUUGACUAUUGUCUGUCCCUGCACAUCUUUCCAGCUAUCUGCGAUAAUUGUACAGCCAGUUGUAGCCCAAGAAGCCUUGAUUUCUACAAGAUAUUCUUUAAUACUUCCAACUUCAUCCUGCAGACAUCGACCAGAAAUUAAUCUGGUUGUAGGGCUUUUUAAUCCAUGUCCAUAUUGACCAACCACAUCCAGCAUCUUGUGAAAGUAUGGCGAAUCUGCGACAUUGAAAGGUAUUGCAGCAUAAUAGAAAAAUUUGCAGAUUGCAGAGGUUACUUCUUUACGGCUCUUUUUUUCAGAUCCUGCCUUCUGUUUUGAUUGCUUGCACCAUAAUGGUACCUGGCUUUUCUGUGUCUUUGCAAUUACAGCAUCUGGAUUCAUCUGUUUCAGUUGUAGGUCAGUAUCGCUUGUACCACUUUCCAGUGACCUCCCUCUAGAUCUUUUUCUUAUGGUUUUACUACAAGAAACAUCUUGAUCACCCAUCAUACGAUUUGCUUUGUUUUUACCAUUUGCAAGCCCUUCUUCCUCAUCAUUGUCUGGAUGCAUAUAUAAUGCUGCAAGUUCUUUGGCUUCAGGCCUUCUUCUCCUUCCUGUGCGAUGCCAUUUCAUAUUUUCUUUCAUUUUAAGAUAUACUUCCUCGGGAGCCAUCUUACAGUAUGCAACUUCCCCAGGAAUUCUGGCUAAAUGCUGUUUGAACCUGUUUAUACCACCACUAACUAUUUUCUCACAAUAAUUGCAUUUAACCUUUUUUUCUUCUCAUCUUGAGCAACGCCAUGUUCCCAUCCUGGGUCAACAUACCCUAAUGACCGUAGUGGGGCUAUAGCUGUGACCAAGCUUUGAUCAUUUCCAAUCUGCCUUCCCUUGCGUCUAUAACCAACAGGUUCUUCAUCCUCUUCAUCAUCAUCAUUUGAAUGUAAAUCGAAGGAUUGCUCUUCAUCCUCUGAUUGUCGUUUUUUGCUAGCCCUGUAUCCUUCAAGAUUUUCUUUCAUUUUCAUAUACACCUCUUCAGGAGCCUUUUUACAGUAUGUAACUUCGCCAGAAAUUCUAGCCAAAUGCUGCUUCAAUCUGUAUAUUCCCCCGCUUACUAUUUUCCCACAGUAAUUGCAUUUUACCUUUUUCUUCCUCUCAUCUUGAGCAACACCAUGUUCCCAUCCAGGGUCAGUAAACCCUGUUAAGCGAAGUGGAGCCAUCUCUUCAACCAUUAAUCAUGCAGCACAACAGCUUCACCCUUUGGCAUCCUAUUAUCUAGCUUCUACAAAACUGGAAAAAGAGCACACCUACAUUAAAACUUGAAUCAAGAAAAGAUGUUUUCCUGAGAUCACUUGUAAUUGGUGAGAAACUCUGUCAGUAACAGCAUCGUCAUAAAGAUCUUGGCAGCAAGCCAGGAGAAAAAAGGAAGAAAACAUUUUUGUCUUACACAUGAGUUAUCUGAUAAGACUAAAAAGAAGAGAGAAGAAUAUUGAGACAUUGUGCAUUGGCGCCUGUGCACACACACAUAUAUAUAGUAUUAAGUAGCAUGAAAUAGAUAUGUUUUAUGAAACAUCCAUCCACAACUCUCUAUGUACAUCUUCUGAUGCCACUAACCUUUAAUUCAUGUAUGGUUUGUCAAGGAAUAUGCAACCAUGUAAACUGAAAAGCAUCCGGAUUGCUAAACAGAGAGGAAAGAGCUAUACUACAUGGACUCAGGUUCAUGUGUUGGGUGUGGCUGCAUGUCAAAGUGUCUGAUUUUCAAUACCUACGAAUAUCUCCUUGUGAAGCCAUGCCCCAGUGCCAUACCAGUGUUCAUGUGUUGGGUACUACAUGGGGGAAUAGAAAGAAAACUUAGAUAUUAUGAUUAUUGCUUUAUAAAUGUCAUUAGCAUCUUAAAAGUGAGAUGCAAAACAUGAAACAGAAGUCAGAGAAGAAGCUCCAUUGCUUGAUGUAAACAGUUAGCCACAUUUAAUUGGUUGGC